GAUGAACGCUGGCGGCGUGCUUAACACAUGCAAGUCGAACGAAGCACCUUGAUUUGAUUCUUCGGAUGAAGAUCUUGGUGACUGAGUGGCGGACGGGUGAGUAACGCGUGGGUAACCUGCCUCAUACAGGGGGAUAACAGUUAGAAAUGACUGCUAAUACCGCAUAAGACCACAGCACCGCAUGGUGCAGGGGUAAAAACUCCGGUGGUAUGAGAUGGACCCGCGUCUGAUUAGGGAGGUGGUGGGGUAACGGCCUACCAAGCCGACGAUCAGUAGCCGACCUGGGAGGGUGACCGGCCACAUUGGGACUGAGACACGGCCAAAACGCCUACGGGAGGCAGCAGUGGGGAAUAUUGCACGAUGGGGGAAACCCUGAUGCAGCGACGCCGCGUGAGCGAUGAAGUAUUUCGGUAUGUAAAGCUCUAUCAGCAGGGAAGAAAAUGACGGUACCUGACUAAGAAGCACCGGCUAAAUACGUGCCAGCCGCCGCGGUAA
rnacentral:rRNA from 1 species